GACGAACGCUGGCGGCGUGCUUAACACAUGCAAGUCGAACGGAAAGACCCUGCUUUUGUGGGGUGCUCGAGUGGCGAACGGGUGAGUAACACUUGAGUAACCUGCCCUUUACUUUGGGAUAACUUCAGGAAACUGGGGCUAAUACCGGAUAGGAGCUCCUGCUUCAUGGUGGGGGUUGGAAAGUUUCGGCGGUUGGGGAUGGACUCGCGGCUUAUCAGCUUGUUGGUGGGGUAGUGGCUUACCAAGGCUUUGACGGGUAGCCGGCCUGAGAGGGUGACCGGCCACAUUGGGACUGAGAUACGGCACAGACUCCUACGGGAGGCAGCAGUGGGGAAUAUUGCACAAUGGGCGGAAGCCUGAUGCAGCAAAGCAGCGUGCGGGAUGACGGCCUGCGGGUUGUAAACCGCUUUCGCCUGUGACGAAGCGUGAGUGACGGUAAUGGGUAAAGAAGCACCGGCUAACUACGUG
rnacentral:rRNA from 1 species